GAUGAACGCUGGCGGCGUGCCUAAUACAUGCAAGUCGAGCGAAUGGAUUAAGAGCUUGCUCUUAUGAAGUUAGCGGCGGACGGGUGAGUAACACGUGGGUAACCUGCCCAUAAGACUGGGAUAACUACGGGAAACCGGGGCUAAUACCGGAUAACAUUUUGAACCGCAUGGUUCGAAAUUGAAAGGCGGCUUCGGCUGUCACUUAAGGAUGGCCCCGCGUCGCAUUAGCUAGUUGGUGAGGUAACGGCUCACCAAGGCAACGAUGCGUAGCCGACCUGAGAGGGUGAUCGGCCACACUGGGACUGAGACACGGCCCAGACUCCUACGGGAGGCAGCAGUAGGGAAUCUUCCGCAAUGGACGAAAGUCUGACGGAGCAACGCCGCGUGAGUGAUGAAGGCUUUCGGUCGUAAAACUCUGUUGUUAGGGAAGAACAAGUGCUAGUUGAAUAAGCUGACACCUUGACGGUACCUAACCAGAAAGCCACGGCUAACUACGUGCCAGCCGCCGCCGUAA
rnacentral:rRNA from 1 species